rnacentral:rRNA from 1 species
GACGAACGCUGGCGGCGUGCUUAACACAUGCAAGUGGAGCGACGAACCAGGCUUCGGCCUGGGGCAAAGCCGCGAACGGGUGAGUAACACGUGGGUAACCUGCCCUGAUGACCGGGACAACCCGAGGAAACUCGGGCUAAUACCGGAUGUGCUCCCACCACAUCAGUGGUGUGAGUAAAGGUAGCUUCGGCCUCCGCAUCGGGAUGGGCCCGCGGCGCAUUAGCUUGUUGGUGGGGUAAAGCCACCAAGGCUACGAUGCGUAGCUGGUCUGAGAGGACGAUCAGCCACACUGGGACUGAGACACGGCCCAGACUCCUACGGGAGGCAGCAGUGGGGAAUCUUGCGCAAUGCGCGAAAGCGUGACGCAGCAACGCCGCGUGAGUGAAGAAGGCCU